AUUACAGCCAUCCUCAUGCCCAUUACAAGAAUAUCGUGGCCAAAUCGCUGGUACAAAAAUAUAGUUCGCUAAAGUGCAAAGAUGCAGCUCAUGCACAGGGUUUAUGGUUCUACCCCGAUGCUCGAGGUGAAGGAAAACAUUCUGGAAAGCUACAAUCACGCAUUGAAUAUCUGGUCAAAAACACCAGAAGCAAGUCCGUCGAGUUAAAAGUCGUAACGAUAAUCCAAAUGUACAAGAAGCAGAGAAUCCCGAAGGUCUAAAUGAUAACGAUGAAAACGAGGAUAUCGAGGAAAUCAUCGCAAAACUAAAGUACAUCGUUCCAUCAGAUGCGUUGCAGGAAAUCAUCAAAAAAGAUUGGAACAAAACGAUGAAUUCUAGAAACCGAAUAAGGAAGAUUCAAAACCCGGAAGAGCGGUUAACCGAAAUGUUUCAGACAUUUCCACUAUCCGGUGCGUUUGAUGGACUACUGAUUAUUAUGGAUUUUGUGGCAAUGCUUCCAGAUGUAAAAGUAAAUUUUGGUGAAACAUGGGAGAUCAUCGAAACCAAAAUACUUCAAAAGCAUGGACAUCUGCAUACUUUAGUCAUAAAUAGUAG